rnacentral:rRNA from 1 species
UACAGAGGUCUCAAGCGUUGUUCGGAUUCAUUGGGCGUAAGGGGUGCGUAGGCGGCGCGGUAAGUCGGGUGUGAAAUCUCGGGGCUUAACUCCGAAACUGCAUUCGAUACUGCCGUGCUUGAGGACUGGAGAGGAGACUGGAAUUUACGGUGUAGCGGUGAAAUGCGUAGAUAUCGUAAGGAAGACCAGUGGCGAAGGCGGGUCUCUGGACAGUUCCUGACACUGAGGCACGAAGGCCAGGGGAGCAAACGGG